rfam:Aedes albopictus isolate Foshan contig148785, whole genome shotgun sequence.
UGUUCUGUGGCUUAGUUGGUUAAAGCGCCGGUCUAGCGAAUACGGAGUCGUGGGUUCGAAUCACACCAGAACGC